ensembl:lncRNA
ACACAGGCAGUAUGUGGGAAUUCCUGGGCCAGGGAUUGAACCUACGCCGCACAGCAGCAAUCAGAGCCACAGCGGUGAGAACGCAGGAGCCUCAACCCGCUAGGCCAUCAGAGAACUCCCACUUUUUACAUGAUUUUAUAGCUGCAGUGCAAAGGUGCAUUAGUGCAUGCUUCCAAGUUUUAAAAGUAAAAAGAGUAGCAAUCACAUUAAAAUUUUCUUCUAAUGUAAAUGAUUAGGCUUUAAGCCAACUAGAUACCACAGACUUCCUGCUUCAUCCUCUUCUAUCAGAUGUGUUAGAGUCUUGUAGCUUCAACUAGACCGACCAACCUGCUAAAGAAGUCAGACAACAGACACACAUUUGAAGUUGAUGUGCCUUUGGUCAAAGAGCCAGCCCUUCCACAGAGCAGGAUGUCAUCCAAAAAGCAAGGAAGGGUCAGCUCUGCUGGGAGUGGAUCUUCCAGUUCCAGUCAAGCUCUCCUGUAGUCUGCUUAGAACACAAGAGGGAACCUGGACUGCAACCUUAUGAAAGACCCUGAGCUAGAGCUGCCCACCUAGGACAUACCUGGAUUCCUAACCCAAAGAAACCAGGUGAGAUAAAAAUGUUUACUGUUUAAGUCCCUAAAUUCAGGGCAACUAGUUAUGAGUUAUGCAACGAUAGAUAACUGAUGUAUCUACUGUCACCCACAAAGCCUUUAUUUAGUUUAUAAGAAUGCAAACAGAAAUUGCUGAUGUAGAUGAACACAUUAUCAGGUUACUGCAACUGCUAUACACUGAACACAAGCAAAAGAGAAUGAUUAACAACAGCUCAAGAGCAAAUUCCAGUUUCUAAGAAGUGUUGCCUUUUUGUCUUUUUUUUCUUUUUCCUGCAUUUUUAAAGAAUGCAGGCCCUUCACUGGCUUGUAGAUGGCUCUCUCAGUGACUGCUGAUUGACUGUGGGAUAUAUUCUCUUCCUUCAAACUAGGCCCACCAGGAUGGAUAAUCAAUAGACAACAGUGGCAUUUUCAUUACCAUAGAAAUCAGAAAGGAGCUUAUUGUGUUGGCAGUUCAAGUCUCAUAGGCAAUAUAAGAAAAAGUCUAGAAGUUUUAGAAGUCAGCUACCCUUUACUCUGCAAGAUGCCAAAAAGUUUACAAAGGACCUUUCUUGUUACCGAAAAGAGAAAACCAUCUAAAGAUUCAACUAUAAACAUUCAACUAUAAAUAAAAUGAUAGUGUACUUUCAUAUUCCUUUGUAUUCACCAAAUAAAUUAAAACCACAAAUGUUACAAAAAUUGGAAAUUCUUCUAAAUUUCUGGUUUUAUAAUAAAUAAGGUAGGAACAGUCAGUUUUUUCUUUCUUCUGGGAUAUCAAUACUCACAGAUAUCCUACCUCUCUAAAUAUAACUCAGCUCUGCUAAGAGCAACAUGCAAUAUUAUUAAGAGAAUUAUCUUAAGUUUUAUACAUCCCAUAAGACAUGUUAAAACAAUAAAAUGACUCUAGAAACAAUAAGCAGAGGGUAACAUUAAUGACAAAAAAUAAUUAUUCAUAUUUAAUAUGGAGUUCCCGUCGUGGUGCAGCAGAAAUGAAUUUGACUAGGAACCAUGAGGUUGCAGGUUUGAACCCUUGCCUUGCUCAGUGGGUUAAGGGUCCGGCGUCGCCCGUGAGCCACGAUGUAGGUCACAGAUGCGUCUCAGAUCCCAAGUUGCUGUGGCUCUGGUGUGGGCCUGCAGCUACAGCUCCAAUUAGAUCCCUAGCCUGGGAACCUCCAUAUGCCAUGGGUGUAGCCCUAAAAAGACAAAAAAAAAAAUUAUUCAUAUUUAAUAAAUAUUUACUAAGUCCUAACUAUAUUUAAAAUAGAGUAGGAGUUAUACAUGGAUUUCUUUGCAACUGUGCAAUAUUUGUGAGAUAUAACUCAUAUUUAGUAAUAAUAAAACCAAAUAAAUGUUUUAGAAGCACAAAAGAGACUUGAAAAACAUCUACAGUAGGGUUCAUAUGCUGCUGGAUAUUUAGGGAAGCUUUAUGAAGUAAGUCAUUAUACUUGUAUAUGGUUGUAAAUUUUCUCAGCUUUUUCAUAUUAAUAUGUUAGAACUUCCCAGAUGACAAAGUUGAGGUUCAGAGAAAUUAGAUGACUUGAUGUGAACCCAGUCCCUGCCUUCUAAAGAAGAAACAGUAGGCACUCAGUAAAUAAGUGCCAGACCACAGUCUGCCAAAUCCAGACACUACUCACAACCCUGUGAGAGUAAAUCCUGAAGUCUACAUUCGGCAGAUUUCAGAAAGAUCUGAUAACUUUCCAGGUUCACACGGCUAGUAAAUGGCAGAACCCUAUUUGAACUCAAGUGCACUUGAUUACAAAGAUCCUGCUUUUUCCUAUCAGACUCCCACUCUAGGUUAGUUUGAAUAACCCAUGGUGCUCCUAGUAAGUGCUCAUACUCUACUGCACCUUCCCUUUCUGGACUAAUAACUGAUCCAUAAGCCAUAGGAAUUGAAAUCUAUCCUUGUUAGCCUUCUGAUUUGUUAUUAAUGCCAUGCAGGAAGGAACUCAGAAGAAUAAUAACAAAGGAGAAGGUAAGACAAGCUUAGGAGAUGAUCAGUUAUUUUUUAAAUAGUUGAGCAAUCAUUUUCCUUUAGACCAGUUUGGAAAAAAAAAUACAUUUUAUAAACUUUAUUAGAAAUUAUCCCCAGGCUAAUACUUCAAUAUCCCACAGGUCAGAGAGUUGUUUUCAGAAGAUCAGUCAUCUAGUUACCUUCUUUUUUUUUGAUGGCCACACCCACAGCAUAUGGAAGUUCCCAGGCCAGGGACUGAAUCUGAGCUGCAGCUGCAACACCCUGUCCUUUAUUUAACCCACUGUGAUGGGCUGGGAUGGAACCUGCACCUUGGCAGUGAUCUGAGCCGCUAGAUACAGUUGGAUUCUCAACCUACUGCACCACAGCGGGAACUCCUUAUCUAGGUAUCUUUAUCAAAGAUCUUUUAUUCCAAUUUGAGUUGGCCAAAAACCAAAACCCCAAAACAAUGUUAAAUGCAUAUAGAUUAAAGCACAAACAUAACCAUACUAAUAGAAGCUGUGUUUCCCUACAGAGCACUCAUCAAAAUCUGAUACUGGAACCCAUUAAGAAUUAUAUCACGCAAGCACUGAGAAAGGAAUAGUAGGACCCUUGGUGUGGUCCAGUGAUUAGGACAGAAGUUUUAAGAGAAAACAUGAAACUGACAGAAAUGCUAAGAAGGAAAAAGACCUGGAGAAAAGGAAGAAGGCUUUUUCUGCAAAGAGACAUCAUAAAGCUGACUUUACUGCUGCUCAGAAAGUACAAGGCUCUGUGAAGUCACAGUGUGUUUGCAGAAGAAUUUAAGUGGAUUAGCUAUACUCCUCUAAAACAGCAGCUUUCUAAGACUGAAAAAUUCAAACUGGUUUUCAAUGUAAAUGAAGUAAACUACAAAUGUGAAAAAAAAGAAAAACAUGAUUAGUUGUAACUAGUCCUUCAGCACAUACAAUAUCUCUAAACAUAAUAAAAGGAUACUCUGGGGUUUCCACACAGUUUUGCGUUGUUAGUCUCACUCCCCUACUGCACCACGCAAUUCUGUCUCAUUUCUUCUUGGUAGUCUCAGCACCUAGCACCAAAUCUGGCACACCCAAUAAGUGAGGAUGAAGGGAAGGCCAGGAGGAGGGUCUAGAUAAAGCAGGAAUUUGACAUGUUAUUUCCUGAGGUGGCAACGCAGGCAGCUGGCUAACGAAUUUCUCUUUUCCUUUCCUCCCAAAGAAAAAAGACUGGUUGGUGGCUGGGGGGGGUGGGGAAAAAUGUUUUGUAAGUGCAAGAAAACAAUUUUUAAUUAACAAAACUGUGGCCUCGUAUUUUUGUAUUAACACAAAUGAAACCUAAAAUACUGAUUUCAGCUACCACUCCUGAUCACCCUGGAAAUUUUUCUAAAUAUACAGAUUGCUCUAGUUAACCUCUUCUUAGCUUACCAGAUUUGAUUAUCCAUCUUUGUUGCUACCAAUUAACCAUCUGCUCAAUACUGCUACGAGACAACCAAAAAAAAAAAAAAAAA